rnacentral:rRNA from 1 species
AUUGAACGCUGGCGGCAGGCCUAAAACAUGCAAGUCGAACGAGUGGCGGACGGGUGAGUAAUGUCUGGGAAACUGCCUGAUGGAGGGGGAUAAAUACUGGAAACGGUAGCUAAUACCGCAUACCAUCAGAUGUGCUCAGUUGGGAUUCGCUUGUUGGUGGGGUAACGGCUCACUAAGGCGACGAUCCCUAGCUGGUCUGAGAGGAUGACAGGCCACACUGGAGCUGAGACACGGUCCAGCCUCCUACGGGAGGCAGCAGUUGGGAAUAUUGCACAAUGGGCGCAAGCCUGAUACAGCCAUGCCGCGUGUAUGAUGAGGGCCUUCGGGUUGUAAAGUACUUUCGGCGGGGAGGCGUUACCCGCAGAAGAAGCACCGGCUAACUCCGUGCCAGCAGCCGCGUUAAUUC